rnacentral:rRNA from 1 species
AACGAACGCUGGCGGCAUGCCUAACACAUGCAAGUCGAACGAGACCUUCGGGUCUAGUGGCGCACGGGUGCGUAACGCGUGGGAACCUGCCCUUAGGUUCGGAAUAACUCCCCGAAAGGGGUGCUAAUACCGGAUAAUGUCUUCGGACAAAGGAUUUUCGGCUUUGGGUUGGGCCGGGGUUGAUUUAGCUGGUGGUAGGGUAAAAACCUUCCAAUGCGACGGUCCAUAGCUUGUCUGGAAGGAGGGACAGUCACACUUGGACUGAGACACGGGCCCAGACCCUACGGGAGGCAGCAGUGGGGAAUAUUGGACAAUGGGCGAAAGCCUGAUCCAGCAAUGCCGCGUGAGUGAUGAAGGCCUUAGGGUUGUAAAGCUCUUUUACCCGGGAUGAUAAUGACAGUACCGGGAGAAUAAGCUCCGGCUAACUCCGUG